CAGCCAUACGCCGCCCAGGACUGGCUCAACAGCUCCACCCUCCACUGCUGUUCACCCAUGACACGUCACUUCCCACCCGCCACUGCUGGCUCACCUGUGACACCCCAGGCAGCUCAGAUGCCCGGCAGGUCCUGCUGGUGUGUGUUAGCCGGGGUCUCCAAAGAACCAGAGCCAGCAGGGGACACACCCAUCUCUGUAUCUGGAGAAAAAGAUCGAUGAGAAGGAAUCUGCUCCUGUGAUGAUGGAGGCUGACAAGUCCCGAGAGCCACGGUUGGCACCCUGGAGACCCCUGAGGGUGAUACCACCACUCCAGGCUGAAAGCUGGCAGGCUUGAGACCCUGGGAGAGCUGGCCCUCUGACUCCUGGGACUUCUUAUUCUAUCCUAGUAUUUCCUCAGCUGAGUGCAUGGGGCCAGACCACACUGGGGAGGGCAGUCAGCGUCACUCAGAGCACCGGGUCAUCUCAUGCAGAAACACCCUCAAAGAAAUAGCCCAAAUUAUGCUGACCAAAUAUCUGGGCACCCCGUGCCCCAGACAAGUUGACACAGAAAAUUAACCAUCACAGGUUAACUCCAUCCAGGAGUGGAAUUGCUGGGUCAUAGAGAAGGCAUAGGAAUUCACAGAAAUCACCAAACGGUUUUCAGGCGGUUGUGCCAUGUUAAACUCCCACUGGAAAGAGAGGA
rnacentral:lncRNA from 10 species